rnacentral:rRNA from 1 species
AUUGAACGCUGGCGGCAGGCCUAACACAUGCAAGUCGAGCGGUAGAGAGGUGCUUGCAUCUCUUGAGAGCGGCGGACGGGUGAGUAAUGCCUAGGAAUCUGCCUGGUAGUGGGGGAUAACGCUCGGAAACGGACGCUAAUACCGCAUACGUCCUACGGGAGAAAGCAGGGGACCUUCGGGCCUUGCGCUAUCAGAUGAGCCUAGGUCGGAUUAGCUAGUUGGCGAGGUAAUGGCUCACCAAGGCGACGAUCCGUAACUGGUCUGAGAGGAUGAGCAGUCACACUGGAACUGAGACACGGUCCAGAGUCCUACGGGAGGCAGCAGUGGGGAAUAUUGGACAAUGGGCGAAAGCCUGAUCCAGCCAUGCCGCGUGUGUGAAGAAGGUCUUCGGAUUGUAAAGCACUUUAAGUUGGGAGGAAGGGUCGUUACCUAAUACGUGACGAUUUUGACGUUACCGACAGAAUAAGCACCGGCUAACUCUGUGCCAGCCGCCGCCGUAAAAC